rnacentral:rRNA from 1 species
UCCUACGGGAGGCAGCAGUGGGGAAUAUUGGACAAUGGGCGAAAGCCUGAUCCAGCAAUGCCGCGUGUGUGCAUGCUUUUCUUCUCUACUGAAAGUGCUUUACAACCCGCAGGCCUUCUUCACACACGCGGCAUUGCUGGAUCAGGCUUUCGCCCAUUGUCCAAUAUUCCCCACUGCUGCCUCCCGUAGGA